AAAGUCGUAACAAGGUUUCCGUAGGUGAACCUGCGGAAGGAUCAUUACCAAAGCACCUUUUUGCGGUGGACAUGUUCUGUCUGCUGCGCCUGCCUGCCCCUUGUUCAAACGAACAAGUGUGGUUGGGCUUUCAACCCAUCACAAACCUGUCGUAGUAUGAUUUUGAAUACGAAUAUCAAUAUAACUUUCAACAACGGAUCUCUUGGCUCUC
rnacentral:misc_RNA from 1 species